GAUCGCGUUGGGGCUGGGACUGAGUAUUACAUCAGGUACUGGUCUGGUUGCUGGGUACCAGUAUCUGUGUGAUAUUCACCCCUCGCCCCGGCUAAACUGCG
rnacentral:pre_miRNA from 1 species